UACAUGCAGUCGAACGCGUUGGCCCAAUUGAUUGAUGGUGCUUGCACCUGAUUGAUUUUGGUCGCCAACGAGUGGCGGACGGGUGAGUAACACGUAGGUAACCUGCCCAGAAGCGGGGGACAACAUUUGGAAACAGAUGCUAAUACCGCAUAACAGCGUUGUUCGCAUGAACAACGCUUAAAAGAUGGCUUCUCGCUAUCACUUCUGGAUGGACCUGCGGUGCAUUAGCUUGUUGGUGGGGUAACGGCCUACCAAGGCGAUGAUGCAUAGCCGAGUUGAGAGACUGAUCGGCCACAAUGGGACUGAGACACGGCCCAUACUCCUACGGGAGGCAGCAGUAGGGAAUCUUCCACAAUGGGCGCAAGCCUGAUGGAGCAACACCGCGUGAGUGAAGAAGGGUUUCGGCUCGUAAAGCUCUGUUGUUAAAGAAGAACACGUAUGAGAGUAACUGUUCAUACGUUGACGGUAUUUAACCAGAAAGUCACGGCUAACUACGUGCCAGCAGCCGCGGUAAUACGUAGGUGGCAAGCGUUAUCCGGAUUUAUUGGGCGUAAAGAGAGUGCAGGCGGUUUUCUAAGUCUGAUGUGAAAGCCUUCGGCUUAACCGGAGAAGUGCAUCGGAAACUGGAUAACUUGAGUGCAGAAGAGGGUAGUGGAACUCCAUGUGUAGCGGUGGAAUGCGUAGAUAUAUGGAAGAACACCAGUGGCGAAGGCGGCUACCUGGUCUGCAACUGACGCUGAGACUCGAAAGCAUGGGUAGCGAACAGGAUUAGAUACCCUGGUAGUCCAUGCCGUAAACGAUGAGUGCUAGGUGUUGGAGGGUUUCCGCCCUUCAGUGCCGGAGCUAACGCAUUAAGCACUCCGCCUGGGGAGUACGACCGCAAGGUUGAAACUCAAAGGAAUUGACGGGGGCCCGCACAAGCGGUGGAGCAUGUGGUUUAAUUCGAAGCUACGCGAAGAACCUUACCAGGUCUUGACAUCUUGCGCCAACCCUAGAGAUAGGGCGUUUCCUUCGGGAACGCAAUGACAGGUGGUGCAUGGUCGUCGUCAGCUCGUGUCGUGAGAUGUUGGGUUAAGUCCCGCAACGAGCGCAACCCUUGUUACUAGUUGCCAGCAUUAAGUUGGGCACUCUAGUGAGACUGCCGGUGACAAACCGGAGGAAGGUGGGGACGACGUCAGAUCAUCAUGCCCCUUAUGACCUGGGCUACACACGUGCUACAAUGGACGGUACAACGAGUCGCGAACUCGCGAGGGCAAGCAAAUCUCUUAAAACCGUUCUCAGUUCGGACUGCAGGCUGCAACUCGCCUGCACGAAGUCGGAAUCGCUAGUAAUCGCGGAUCAGCAUGCCGCGGUGAAUACGUUCCCGGGCCUUGUACACACCGCCCGUCACACGCAUGAGAGUUUGUAACACCCAAAGUCGGUGGGGUAACCUUUUAGGAGCCAGCCGC
rnacentral:rRNA from 1 species